rnacentral:lncRNA from 1 species
UCAGGAAACAGCAUGGCCAUGAGGGCCCCUUCUCAGCUCCUGGGGCUCCUGCUGCUCUGCCUCCCAGGUAAGGAGGAAUAGUAUUUGGGAUUUACUCAUCACAGUAUGGUCAGUGCUGCAUGGCUACUCAGGAAAGUAUUCUUGAAACAUGAUUAAUUAUAAGAAUAUUUCUUUUUAUGUUUCCAAUGGCAGGUGUCAGAUGUGACAUCACGAUAACCCAGUCUCCAUCCUCCUUGCCUGUGUCUCAUGGAGAGAGAGUCACCAUCACCUGCAGGGCCAGUCAGAAUGUUAACAGUUGGUUAGCUUGGUAUCAACAGAAGCCAGGGCAAGCUCCUAAACCCCUGAUAUAUAAGGCAUCCAAUUUGCAAUCUGGGGUCCCCUCAAGGUUCAGUGGCACUGGAUCUGGGACAGAUUACACUCUCACCAUCAGCAGCCUGGAGCCUGAAGAUAUUGCCACUUAUUUUUGUGUACAGUAUGACAGUUCCCCUCCCACAGUGAUACAGGCCAUGACAAAAAC